rnacentral:rRNA from 1 species
GACGAACGCUGGCGGCGUGCUUAGCACAUGCAAGUCGAACGGAAAGGCCCUGCUUUUGUGGGGUGCUCGAGUGGCGAACGGGUGAGUAACACGUGAGUAACCUGCCCUUGACUUUGGGAUAACUUCAGGAAACUGGGGCUAAUACCGGAUAGGAGCUCCUGCUGCAUGGUGGGGGUUGGAAAGUUUCGGCGGUUGGGGAUGGACUCGCGGCUUAUCAGCUUGUUGGUGGGGUAGUGGCUUACCAAGGCUUUGACGGGUAGCCGGCCUGAGAGGGUGACCGGCCACAUUGGGACUGAGAUACGGCCCAGACUCCUACGGGAGGCAGCAGUGGGGAAUAUUGCACAAUGGGCGGAAGCCUGAUGCAGCAACGCCGCGUGCGGGAUGACGGCCUUCGGGUUGUAAACCGCUUUCGCCUGUGACGAAGCGUGAGUGACGGUAAUGGGUAAAGAAGCACCGGCUAACUACGUGC